CACGACAGCUCAGCAAUUGGUUUACAAGCUGGGCUAUCAUUUUCACUUCAUGCAGAUGCUGACCAGGACACCUACUGCUUGAUUGAUCUGGCUGCCGAGUUGAAAUGUGGGAGUCUGCAGUCUGUCACGUAGAAAAGCAGAAGAAGUGGAGCUUGCCUCCUAAAACAGAAAUAAGAUGCAUCUUUGGAAACUGGAAUACUGGCAGUGGAACCAGGCCCCUGGAGGUACAUUAGGAAGCUGCCCCAGUGGAGCUUAAAUUAAAUCCAAGCAAACAAACAAAUAAACAGAGACUGCAGUGCAAAUGAAUAGUUUAAACCGCCUAAGAUGAGAUGUGCCACUGAUAUACUGGAAGUUAUUCUCCCAAACCUCUAUUUAGCUUUCUGGAAGGAUACUACUUUCAGAGGUGCAGAUUCCCUGGGCUCUCAGGAAAGUAAAGAGCACACCUUCAGGAAGGCCAGGGCCUCGGGAACUGGAGAGAUGAGCCACUUUGGUAUUAGAUGAAUGACCAUCGAAAUGAAAAUAGGCACCCACCCUGCCAUUAGUCUGCAGGGACCAAGGAAAGAACUAGAGCAAGGAAAGAACCAGAGCAGUCAGCACCACUACUGCAAUCAUGUAAACCCUCACCUUACAGACAGUUAAGAGGAUUAUUAGGCAAUGGUUAUCUCCCCUGAAAAUGGACAGUGUAUUCUAAAGGAACAGUCCCAGCAAUGGCAUACAGGAGUUCCACUGGCACUAAGAUUCAAGAAGUGUAACAGCAUGACAGACAGGAAGUAUUUCUUCUUGAGAAAGAUUAAAUUAUAAAGAAACCAUACGGGAAGAUGAAGGGAGCAAGAGUAGUCACAGGAGCAGAUAUUGAUUGCUUAUGCAGGACAACUGAAUUCCUCAGCAACUGCCUGCCUCAGCCAAAAGGAUGCAAUAUUUGUGUCAGGCAGCUGCAGCUGCAACACAGACACCCACGAGUUGCUUGCGGCUCAAUCUUGUUCCAGUCAAAACCUGAUGGAUGGCUACUUGUAUUGAUCAGAGUGGGAAGACUCAGGAACUGAACUGAGAAGCACAGGAUUUUGAAACUAGAUUGACAUGUCCUGGACAGACAAGCAAACAUUGUAACUUCCAAUCAGCCAGGGUACAUAAGGAAACAAGACAUCCCAAGGAACUAAAACAUAAAAAGCAGUGCAGCCCAUUCUUGGAAGCAACCACAAUGCAAGCUGUUGCAAGGACUGGCUUCCAAAGAGCAUCUCUGUGAGCCAGGUAGGGCUGCUAGAGAAAGGGAACAACUGCUGCCCAGCAAAACAAAUCCAUGUGAGCUACAUGCACCUAAUGGCAUAGAUGACUGGUCCUGAUUC